rnacentral:rRNA from 1 species
UGGCCUUCCAAAUUUGAAUUAUUGUCUUGAUGCCAGGUGGAGGACCUUUGCAAUCUUAUCAAGUUGACGCUAAACUGGCACUCUUACUUGAUCCCGUAUUACUCCUUCGAACAAUUUGUGCGCAAAGUUGAGGAAAUUGGGGCCAAUAAUCGUGUUAGAAUAAACUUCUUUCUUCCUUUUUCCACACUGUGGGGCAGCAGGAUCUGA